rnacentral:rRNA from 1 species
AGUGAACGCUGGCGGUAGGCCUAACACAUGCAAGUCGAACGGCAGCACAGUAAGAGCUUGCUCUUACGGGUGGCGAGUGGCGGACGGGUGAGGAAUACAUCGGAAUCUACUUUUUCGUGGGGGAUAACGUAGGGAAACUUACGCUAAUACCGCAUACGACCUACGGUUGAAAGCAGGGGAUCUUCGGACCUUGCGCGAUUGAAUGAGCCGAUGUCGGAUUAGCUAGUUGGCGGGGUAAAGGCCCACCAAGGCGACGAUCCGUAGCUGGUCUGAGAGGAUGAUCAGCCACACUGGAACUGAGACACGGUCCAGACUCCUACGGGAGGCAGCAGUGGGGAAUAUUGGACAAUGGGCGCAAGCCUGAUCCAGCUAUACCGCGUGGGUGAAGAAGGCCUUCGGGUUGUAAAGCCCUUUUGUUGGGAAAGAAAAGCAGCAGGUUAAUACCCCGCUGUUCUGACGGUACCCAAAGAAUAAGCACCGGCUAACUUCGUG